GACGAACGCUGGCGGCGUGCUUAACACAUGCAAGUCGAACGGAAAGGCCCUGCUUUUGUGGGGUGCUCGAGUGGCGAACGGGUGAGUAACACGUGAGUAACCUGCCCUUUACUUUGGGAUAACUUCAGGAAACUGGGGCUAAUACCGGAUAGGAGCUCCUGCUGCAUGGUGGGGGUUGGAAAGUUUCGGCGGUUGGGGAUGGACUCGCGGCUUAUCAGCUUGUUGGUGGGGUAGUGGCUUACCAAGGCUUUGACGGGUAGCCGGCCUGAGAGGGUGACCGGCCACAUUGGGACUGAGAUACGGCCCAGACUCCUACGGGAGGCAGCAGUGGAGAAUAUUGCACAAUGGGAGGAAGCCUGAUGCAGCAACGCCGCGUGCGGGAUGACGGACUUCGGGUUGUAAACCGCUUUCGCCUGUGACGAAGCGUGAGUGACGGUAAUGAGUAAAGAAGCACCGGCUAACUACGUG
rnacentral:rRNA from 1 species